ensembl:lncRNA
AAAAAAAAACAUUUUGUUUUAUUUCAGCUUUGUGUUGGUUAACAAAAAAUUGUUUCUCAUAGUUCCAGUUUUAAUUCCUGUUUACUUUCAUUUAGUAUUUAGUUUUUACUGGUCCAUCUUUACUUUAGUUUAGUUUUAUGGGCUUAAGUAACACUGACUCUGCCUUAACAAGCACCACUAGUUCAGUUCUCAUUAGAGUUGUGACGUUCGCGAACGAACCGAUUCUUUUGAAUGGCUCAUAAACAUGAACGAUGGGAGCCGAGUCGCGGCUGGAGGGGAGCCGUUCUUUCUGUCGUUCUUUUUUCCUAUAUGCGUGUUUCACACAGAUGCACACAAGCCAACCCUUUAUAGCGUGAUGAUAUUAGUUAUUAGUUGUGCACGCAUCCUUCACGUGAGUACUCCAGUGGAAAAAAACCCUGCGUGCCUCUGUCUAAUUUUAUCUACUUUAAAUAUUUUUUUGUUUUCUAUCAAAAUGUUCUUGUGUGAUAACAAUGUUCUUGUGUGGAAGUGUUUGUAGUAAAAGCUGUUUUGCACAGAAAUUCAUUGCAGCCGGCUUUGUUUUUUAUGUUUAUUUGUGAGUAUGUAUUGUAUGAAUAACAUAAGUCAACGUAGCUUUACACACACAAACACACACUUUGUACUAAAGGUAAAUCCAAAAUAGUGAUGUCACUGUCUAAGCAGAGGGAUUUGUGCAACCCUAUGGAAUAUAGUCCACACAUGACAAAUGAGGUAAUAAUCAAUAUUUCAGAAUAAUUCAAACUCAGAUAUGGGUGUGUGAUAUCUGAGUUUUUAUUAUUUGACUACAAAUCUCACCUCAUCAUUCCUCCCAGUGAUUAUUUCCAGGAUAAACUGAGAUGCCCCCAAGCUGGCUUCUUAAAACUGACUAAAUAUUUAAAAAGAGCCAAAAGAGCCAUUCUUUUGAACGGCUCUUUAAAAGGAACGGAUCGCGAAGAUCCGGAUCCCCUCAAAGAGCCAUAAAUCCCAUCACUAAUUGUAAUUGGGCAGAGGUGGAAAGAGUACAAAAAUAUUCUACUCAAGUAUCAUGCAAUGUUUCGAUAUGUAAGAAUCAUUUACACCUGACUCUGAAAGCAUGACCCAACUGGCACGUUUAUAUGUGUGAUUUUUCACACGCUCACUGUGGCCGUCUAGCAGCAUUCCAGAAUGCCGCAGUGUUUGGUGUUGACAGUCUGUUUUUCAGAGGUGGUGAACUCACUGUGCUUUUACGGCUCUAGAGACAUGCCGUUGGGGCAUGUGGGUAAUUGCAGUGGGACGCACAGAGAGACAUUUGCUUCUGUUGUUGGACAUGUGACAGUGAGGCCUCAUAGGAAGAUCACAUACAAGCACACGCUGACACAAUUAAUCGUUUAAUGCAGCCAAAACAAAUGGACUGAUGCAGGAAAUUGCUGACUAAUCGACAUGAAUGCAUAAUAUCAGUCUUGCCAUUUAAGGUUAAAAUGUACAGUGGGAAUGAAAACUCUGAGCAGAGUUAUUUCAGUAUUCUUUAUAUACUAGUUUUA